GCUGAUAUAGUUUAAAUAAGGUAAAAUAGCUAAUUUGUAAUUAGCCAGAUAAGAGUUCAAAUCUCCUUGUCAGCU
rnacentral:tRNA from 1 species